rnacentral:rRNA from 1 species
GGGUUGUGAGGUUAAGCGACUAAGCGUACACGGUGGAUGCCCUGGCAGUCAGAGGCGAUGAAGGACGUGCUAAUCUGCGAAAAGCGCCGGCGAGGUGAUAUGAACCCUUGACCCGGCGAUGUCCGAAUGGGGAAACCCAGUGUGUUCCGACACACUAUCGUUAACUGAAUACAUAGGUUAACGAGGCGAACCGGGGGAACUGAAACAUCUAAGUACCCCGAGGAAAAGAAAUCAACCGAGAUUCCCCCAGUAGCGGCGAGCGAACGGGGAGCAGCCCGGAGUCUGAAUCAGCUUGUGUGUUAGUGGAACGGUCUGGAAAGUCCGACGGUACAGGGUGAUAGUCCCGUACACGAAAACACACUUGCUGUGAACUCGAAGAGUAGGGCGGGACACGUGGUAUCCUGUCUGAAUAUGGGGGGACCAUCCUCCAAGGCUAAAUACUCCUGACUGACCGAUAGUGAACCAGUACCGUGAGGGAAAGGCGAAAAGAACCCCGGCGAGGGGAGUGAAAAAGAACCUGAAACCGUGUACGUACAAGCAGUGGGAGCACCUUCGUGGUGUGACUGCGUACCUUUUGUAUAAUGGGUCAGCGACUUAUAUUCUGUAGCAAGGUUAACCGUAUAGGGGAGCCGAAGGGAAACCGAGUCUUAACUGGGCGUUAAGUUGCAGGGUAUAGACCCGAAACCCGGUGAUCUAGCCAUGGGCAGGUUGAAGGUUGGGUAACACUAACUGGAGGACCGAACCGACUAAUGUUGAAAAAUUAGCGGAUGACCUGUGGCUGGGGGUGAAAGGCCAAUCAAACCGGGAGAUAGCUGGUUCUCCCCGAAAGCUAUUUAGGUAGCGCCUCGUGAACUCAUCUUCGGGGGUAGAGCACUGUUUCGGCUAGGGGGCCAUCCCGGCUUACCAACCCGAUGCAAACUACGAAUACCGAAGAAUGUUAUCACGGGAGACACACGGCGGGUGCUAACGUCCGUCGUGAAGAGGGAAACAACCCAGACCGCCAGCUAAGGUCCCAAAGUCAUGGUUAAGUGGGAAACGAUGUGGGAAGGCACAGACAGCCAGGAUGUUGGCUUAGAAGCAGCCAUCAUUUAAAGAAAGCGUAAUAGCUCACUGGUCGAGUCGGCCUGCGCGGAAGAUGUAACGGGGCUAAACCAUGCACCGAAGCUGCGGCAGCGACGCUUAUGCGUUGUUGGGUAGGGGAGCGUUCUGUAAGCCGUUGAAGGUGUGCUGUGAGGCAUGCUGGAGGUAUCAGAAGUGCGAAUGCUGACAUAAGUAACGAUAAAGCGGGUGAAAAGCCCGCUCGCCGGAAGACCAAGGGUUCCUGUCCAACGUUAAUCGGGGCAGGGUGAGUCGACCCCUAAGGCGAGGCCGAAAGGCGUAGUCGAUGGGAAACAGGUUAAUAUUCCUGUACUUGGUGUUACUGCGAAGGGGGGACGGAGAAGGCUAUGUCAGCCGGGCGACGGUUGUCCCGGUUUAAGCAUGUAGGCGGAGGUUCCAGGUAAAUCCGGUACCUUUUAACGCUGAGGUGUGAUGACGAGGCACUACGGUGCUGAAGUGAUAAAUGCCCUGCUUCCAGGAAAAGCCUCUAAGCAUCAGGUAACACGAAAUCGUACCCCAAACCGACACAGGUGGUCAGGUAGAGAAUACCAAGGCGCUUGAGAGAACUCGGGUGAAGGAACUAGGCAAAAUGGUGCCGUAACUUCGGGAGAAGGCACGCUGAUAUGUAGGUGAAGUCCCUGCGGACGGAGCUGAAAUCAGUCGAAGAUACCAGCUGGCUGCAACUGUUUAUUAAAAACACAGCACUGUGCAAACACGAAAGUGGACGUAUACGGUGUGACGCCUGCCCGGUGCCGGAAGGUUAAUUGAUGGGGUUAGCGGCAACGCGAAGCUCUUGAUCGAAGCCCCGGUAAACGGCGGCCGUAACUAUAACGGUCCUAAGGUAGCGAAAUUCCUUGUCGGGUAAGUUCCGACCUGCACGAAUGGCGUAAUGAUGGCCAGGCUGUCUCCACCCGAGACUCAGUGAAAUUGAACUCGCUGUGAAGAUGCAGUGUACCCGCGGCAAGACGGAAAGACCCCGUGAACCUUUACUAUAGCUUGACACUGAACACUGGUCCUUGAUGUGUAGGAUAGGUGGGAGGCUUUGAAGCGUGGACGCCAGUCUGCGUGGAGCCAUCCUUGAAAUACCACCCUUUAAUGGCUGGUGUUCUAACGUAGACCCGUGAUCCGGGUUGCGGACAGUGUCUGGUGGGUAGUUUGACUGGGGCGGUCUCCUCCCAAAGAGUAACGGAGGAGCACGAAGGUUGGCUAAUCCUGGUCGGACAUCAGGAGGUUAGUGCAAUGGCAUAAGCCAGCUUGACUGCGAGCGUGACGGCGCGAGCAGGUGCGAAAGCAGGUCAUAGUGAUCCGGUGGUUCUGAAUGGAAGGGCCAUCGCUCAACGGAUAAAAGGUACUCCGGGGAUAACAGGCUGAUACCGCCCAAGAGUUCAUAUCGACGGCGGUGUUUGGCACCUCGAUGUCGGCUCAUCACAUCCUGGGGCUGAAGUAGGUCCCAAGGGUAUGGCUGUUCGCCAUUUAAAGUGGUACGCGAGCUGGGUUUAGAACGUCGUGAGACAGUUCGGUCCCUAUCUGCCGUGGGCGCUGGAGAAUUGAGGGGGGCUGCUCCUAGUACGAGAGGACCGGAGUGGACGCAUCACUGGUGUUCGGGUUGUCAUGCCAAUGGCACUGCCCGGUAGCUAAAUGCGGAAGAGAUAAGUGCUGAAAGCAUCUAAGCACGAAACUUGCCCCGAGAUGAGUUCUCCCUGAGACUUUAAGUCUCCUGAAGGAACGUUGAAGACGACGACGUUGAUAGGUCGGGUGUGUAAGCGCAGCGAUGCGUUGAGCUAACCGAUACUAAUGAACCGUGAGGCUUAACCUUACAACGCCGAAGGUGUUU